rnacentral:rRNA from 1 species
CAGCAGCCACGGUAAUACGGAGGGUGCAAGCGUUAAUCGGAAUUACUGGGCGUAAAGCGCACGCAGGCGGUCUGUCAAGUCAGAUGUGAAAUCCCCGGGCUUAACCUGGGAACUGCAUUUGAAACUGGCAGGCUAGAGUCUUGUAGAGGGGGGUGGAAUUCCAGGUGUAGCGGUGAAAUGCGUAGAGAUCUGGAGGAAUACCGGUGGCGAAGGCGGCCCCCUGGACAAAGACUGACGCUCAGGUGCGAAAGCGUGGGGAGCAAACAGGAUUAGAUACCCGAGUAGUCCCUGUCUCUUAUAA